UGGGACGUAGCCAAGUGGUAAGGCAGCGGGUUUUGGUUCCGUCAUUCGGAGGUUCGAAUCCUCCCGUCCCAG
rnacentral:tRNA from 1 species